rnacentral:rRNA from 1 species
GACGAACGCUGGCGGCGUGCCUAAUACAUGCAAGUCGAACGCUUCGUUCCUCCCCUUUGCUUUCACUCGAUUGGAAAGGGGGGGUGCGGACGGCGUGGUAACACUUGCUUUACGUAUCGAUUAGCUUGGGGAAACAGUUGCAAACAGGGGCUAAUAUCUCAUAACAGUUUAUGCAGCAGUGCAUGAGAGUGUUGGGGGCAUUCAGGGGUGGCUCCGCGAUGGAUUAGCUAGUUGGUAAGGUAACGGCUUACCAAGGGGACGAUGCGUAGCCGACCUGAGAGGGUGAUCGGCCACACUGGAACUGAGACACGGCCCAGACUCCUACGGGAGGCAGCAGUAGGGAAUCUUCGGCAAUGGGCGAAAGUCUGACGGAGCAACGCCGCGUGAGUGAAGAAGGUUUUCGGAUCGUAAAACUCUGUUAUUAGGGAAGAACAAGGACGUUAGUAACUAAGCGUCUCUUGACGGUACCUAACCAGAAAGCCACGGCUAACUACGUG